rnacentral:tRNA from 1 species
GGGGCCUUAGCUCAGCUGGGAGAGCGCCUGCUUUGCACGCAGGAGGUCAGCGGUUGGAUCCCGCUAGGCUCCA